AUGCUUCUCUUGUCGGUCUGGAGUUGGGAACGCUUGCCAGUUGGGCGGCCAACGCCUGCGGGUCUUGGUUAUGAGCCAUGGGAUGAUCAUGAUGACCCGGACUGUAUGCCUACAUGGGCGUAUAAGUGGGACAAGGUUGAAGGCUUUGUUGGCAAUUCAAAGACCAUGUAUUUGCACUAUUGCAACGAGCUCGGCAUCAUGACCCCGGAGCAGGUUAGUUUGUUGACUGUGUUGCCCCUUCGGUUUUCCAAAAAUCAUAGUAAGCAUUUGUCGGCGUUCUGGGAAUGGGGGUACCCAGACUUGCCUGCCUGCGGCCUGCGACGUGGCUCAAGGAGUGGCCCAGUGUGGCCCAUCUUCAUCAACACAUGCUCAAGACCCUCGCGAGGGGCCAAGCCUCGCGGGGCGAACGACAGGAGGCUUCCUCGGGCACGGCCUCGUCAGGCUGGCUCAUGA
rnacentral:rRNA from 1 species